CAUCUCUCUCCCCCUCCUCAGUCUCCUCCCUCAUUUUUUCCCCUCGGAGACCACGACAAUGGCGAUCUCCUCCUCCUCCUCCUCCGCCUCCGCCUAAUAGGCUAGGGUAAUCCACCCACCGCGACCCCAAUAACUCCCCCCAAUUUCUCCCCCAAUACACGCUAGAGAUGGACCCCAGCAGCAGCAGUGGGAGUGGGAGCAGUGGGAGCAUCAUCGACUCCCUCGGGGUGGAGAUCGUGGGGGUGAUGUCCCCCGUCUCCAUCUGCAUGCUCGUCGUCGUCCUCCUCAUCUCCACGCUCUCCUCCCCCUCCCCGUCGACGACGGCGACCGCGCCGCCCAUCACCGCCGCGACCCUCGUCUACCUCGAGUCCCCCUCCGACUCCGCCUCGCACAAGCUCCUCGGCGCCCUCCUCAACGCCGCCGCGUUCGUCGCCCUCGUCGCCCUCGUCACCUUCCUCCUCGUCCUCCUCUACUACUACCGCUGCACCUCCUUCCUCCGCCUCUACAUGCGCUUCUCCACCUUCUUCGUCCUCUCCUCCAUGGGCGGCCCCCUCCUCCUCGCCCUCCUCCGCCGCUUCGCCCUCCCCCUCGACGCCCCCUCCGCGCUAUUCCUCCUCCUCAACUUCUCCGCCCUCGGCGCCCUCUCCCUCUUCCACCCCGCCCUCCCCUUCCUCCUCCGCCAAUCCUACAUGGUCGCCCUCGCCGCCAUCGUCGCCGCGUGGUUCGCCCGCCUCCCCGAGUGGACCACCUGGGUGCUCCUCCUCGCCCUCGCCGCCUACGACCUCGUCGCCGUGCUCGCCCCGCGCGGGCCCCUGCGCAUCCUCGUCGAGCUCGCCUCCUCCCGCGACGACGACCUCCCCGCCCUCGUCUACGAGGCGCGCCCCACCGUCGCCCCCUCCGCCUCCGCCCCCUCCCCUGCCUCGAUCGGCUCCGUCGAGCUCCAACCCGUCGAUCCCCCGCCGCGCCGCUCCCCUACAAACCCUAAUCCCGACGAUCGCGCCGUCGUCGAAAUGGCGGAUCUGGACGAGGAGAGAUCGCCGCUGGUGUCCAGCGGAUCAUCCGGCGGAAGUGCGCAGAACAACGAACGGGUUGUGCGCAUUGGGGAGCCCUCCGAUCGCGCUGUGGUCGAGAUCGCGAAUCCCGACGAGGAGGAGGCGCGGGGUAGGGAUGCUUGUGAAAACCCUAGCUCCGAUCACGCCGUACUGGAGAUCGGGAAUGUCGAGGGAGAGACGUCCCCUUUGGUCUCGAGAACCCUAGUAGGACGCCAGGAGAAUCCUCCCCAGAGGAGGAGACGCCGUUCUUCAUCUUCUUCUUCGCCUUCUUCGCCGACUCAGGAGGUUGAGAUGUUCGAGACCACCAGAGGAAUCAGAUUGGGCCUCGGCGACUUUGUCUUCUACAGUGUUCUCGUCGGAAGGGCGGCAAUGUAUGAUCUCAUGACGGUGUAUGCUUGCUAUCUGGCCAUCAUCUCGGGGCUCGGGUGCACGCUCAUCUUGCUUUCGGUAUGCCGGCAUGCGCUGCCUGCACUUCCGAUCUCGAUAACCCUAGGCGUCAUGUUCUAUUUCUUGACCCGGCUGCUGAUGGAGCCGUUCGUGGUCGGGGCGUCGACCAACUUGCCAUUGUGAUAUAGCUGCUUGGAGAUUCUUAUAAAGGCUAUCCAGUACUCUUAUUAUAUUGACAAGGGUAAAUAUAUAUUGCAUAAAAUUAGAGGAAGGAUGACAGAUCAUGGAGGAGAAGGUUCCAGUGAGUGGGGGACUUAGCUACUUUUCUAUAGCCGCCAAAUCAUAAUUUGGACUGAAGUGACACCAAAUGACAGUGCGAGGCGGGUAGUGCAAUUGUAAGUUGCUCGACUCAUCCUCUUCCUCCUCUUUCGAAUGUGUGAAGUGAGUCAACUCCACUCCUCUUCCCCUGUUCCCCCUUCACCCACGCCACCCCCCCUCAAACCCUAAACCCUGCCAUGGAUUUGAUCCGAGGAGGCAUCGGUCUCCUCUCCAGGCUCUCCAGUAUCGGCCUCUCCGAGCACGCGGCGAGGGAGGCCCUCUCCUUCAUGGGCUCAGAGCUCGCCCUCCUCCGCGGCGUCGGCGACGAGGUCGAUCGAUCGCCUCCGCCGCCACACCGAUCGCAUCCGCUCCCUCCUCUCGGACGCCGAAGAUCGCCGCUACAUGGACGACGCCUUCGUGAAGCAAUGGCUCUCCGACCUCAGAGCCCUCCUCUUCGACGCCGACGACACCCUCGACCUCCACAACACCCUCUUCCUCCGUCCCGAUCCUAACCCUAACCCCAACCGCAAGCGCUCGUGGCUAGCGCUCGAUCGACCCCUCUGCCACCAUAGAAUUGGCGCCCAAAUCGCCGAGAUACACAAGAGGCUCGCGGAAAUCGCGGAGGGCCGUAAAAAUUUCCUCUUGAGGCCGGGAGAUGGGCGGCGGAGGGCUCCGGUGGGGGGAAGGCGCCACUGUUAUCAAUCUCCGAGCUUUUCUUCUUGUGAGAGAGCCAACGACCAACGUCGUUGGCAGGGCAGGCAUCGCGAGAGGGCUCAGAUUGUCCGGGAGCUGACCUCAGAUUGGAGGAUGGAUGUCCCCGUUCUACCCAUUUACGGUGCCGCGGGGAUCGGGAAGACGACGCUCGCACAAUUGGUGUUUGAUGAUGGGGAUGUGGUGAGGUAUUUCGGUUUGAGGAUUUGGGUUUCACUGUGUGAAGGGUGUGAUAUCAGGAGGGCCAUGAAGGAGACCGUGGAGGCAAUUACGAGGUCAAAAUACAGCCUUUUGAGCUUGCACAUAUUGCAGCACCGCCUCGGUGAGCUUCUUAGGAUGAACAGGUUCUUGCUUGUUCUAGAUAACUUGUGGGCCGAGGAUAGGCGGUUCUGGGAGAUAUUCUGGGUCCCGUUGCUCGCAGGGGAGAGUGAAAGUAAGGUUAUGAUCAUCACCUGAAGUGAAUUGGUUUGGAGGAGGAUGCAAACCACAUUUUCUCCCAUUUGUUUGAUGGGUCUAGAGGAGAAAGAGUGUUGGGCGCUUCUUCAAGGCCGCACUUUCCCGCAAGGGGAUUCAGAGGAGGACAAAGGUUUGGUCGAGAUCGGUACAAAGAUAGCAGAGAAGUGUAAAGGCUCCCUAUUGGCCGCAAAGUCACUCAGUGACCUCUUGCAUGACUCAAAGGCUGAAGAGGAGUGGAUGAUCAGACUAAGUGAAAUGCCUGUUCUUGAAAAAGAUCAAAAUGGGGUGUUGCCGAGCUUACAGAUAAGUUAUCACCACUCGCCAUUUCAUUUAAAGCGGUGCUUUGCAUAUUGCUUCCUAUUUCCUAAUGGGUGUGCUUUUGAAAAGGAUGAGGUGGUCAGAUUGUGGAUGGCAGAAGAUUUGAUCGAACGCGAUGGAAGGAGACGGUUGGAGGUGACUGGGGGUAAGAUACUUUGAUGAUUUAUUGUGGAGGUCAUUUUUUGAAGUUUCUAGUACUUGCCAGCAGUGGAAACAAAGGUAUCAGAUUCCUAGCUUGAUGCACGAUCUGGCAUGGUUUGUUGCCAAAAAUGAGUUUGUGUGGUUGGAAAAUGAGAUUUCCGAUGUUACAGCUGAAUGGGUUCGUUAUGCAACCCUCUUUCAUCUUGACCAGAACCCUCUAGCAUUUGAGAAGUUAUAUGAGUAUGAAAAUCUACGUACUUUGAAGCUGUGUCGAGAAAUUAGAGUACCUUUGAAGCAGGUCCCAAAAGAGCUUUUCCUGAAACUAAGCGGUUUGCGGGUGCUAGAUUUGAGCAAUAGUGAAGUAAAGGAGUUGCCAGAUUUUGUUGGUGACUUGAUACACCUAAGGUACCUCAGCCUUUCUUAUACUGAAAGAGAAGCUUCCCAACUCAGUUACCUACCUCUACAAUCUACAAACAUUGGAGCUUAACGAGUGCUACAAGCUUCUAGAAUUACCCCAAGGAACAAGCAAAUUGGUCAACCUACACCAUAAUGUUUAAGAUUAGCAUCAGUUCUUUCAUAUCAUCAUCCCAGGAUGUGCGAAUUUCCAGCGAUUAAGUCGGAAGGAUUACAUGCUGCAGAAGUUUCUGGAUCGUCAUACUGAAUUCCAUCUCUAUGGUUGCAGCAGGUCUUAUGGACAUCUGUACUUGCAAAUGGCUGAUAUCAGGUAAGCAUUAACAGCCUUUUUCUUUCAGUUUUUCUUUUCAGAUUUCUCUUCUCUGCAGCUUUCUGUCAGCCUCAAAAUUUCUGCUAAAACUGAAGAUACUUGUUUAUAUGGAACCACAGAUUUUCAUUUCUAUAGAUCAACGUACCAUGUUUCCUUUGUAGAUUCAUUUACUUAUAAUGAUACUCCUUCCGCACUGUCUUCUUGCUUCUAAUGUGUUGCUUACAAGCAAUGUGCUGGCUCCAUCAGGGUUGGUCAAUUGAGGGAAAAAAGACGGAAAAAAGAAAAUGGUGACAGUGAGGUUUUGUGGCCUUUACUGCAGAAUCUGUUUUAGUGCAUUAUAUAUUAUUCUUCUUUUGGAAGUUUUAACUGAUUUCUCUGUUCUCUUGUUUACAACCUAAGCCCCUCUGGUAGCCUAAUGUAGUUUUUUUUCUUCUAUUAUCUCUUUACUUUAUUUAAUUUUUUUACACUUUAUACUUUGCUCUUCAUUCUUCUUACUCUCAUAAAUUUCUUUACUGUGAAGUUCUACUUCGACUCAUAUUUCCAAGGUCUGCUGGAUAACCAGUACAUGCAUUUGUUGUCAUUUUACUCAUUGUUUUCUUUUCUUUUCUUUUCUUUCUUUAUAAUUCGAUAAUAUGAUAGAAUUGACUUUCUCAGAGCUAAUCUGCACCAUAUGUUUUAUACAUUCUUUUAUAGUAGCUGUAUUUGUUGUAGUCAGUCGUCAUUGUUGCUGUUGUUUUCUUUUUCCUUCUUAAUGUGUGGUCUUGAAGAAACAUAACGUGUGUAUGUGGAAUAGGGAUUGGACCUAUUCUAUUUAACCAGAUUAUAAGCAGGUUGGGUAUAGAUUCAGAAUUUGACUAGCUAAGAAGAAUCUAACCCCAGUUGACCUGAAGUAUUUUUAUUGAUGAUGGUUUGGUAGUUUAAUCUUGUAGAUUGCAUUGUGCAUGCUUUGCUUUCUUCAAAUACCUAAAGCUAGAGCACGAGUCAACAAAGGGUAUCAAAACUGCAUAAUAUCAAUAUAUCGACUUGGUGCUUCAGGUUAACAUGAAUCGAGCAAUUUCAAGCUUCAUAGCCCUUAAAUCAACAGUAGCGUGUGAAUACAAGUUCAAGAAGGGUAUUUGUUGUAACCCAUUAUGUUUUGCUUUUUAGAGUUACAUUUAUAUGGUCAAGUCUUUUAUUUUUGAAGUUCAGUCUAAGUUAAGAUCAAGGAAGUUGUCACGAGAGUGUUUUGAAGCUAAACUUUUCAUUUCUUUUGAAGCUAAACUUUUGGGCUCUCCUGAGAGGUCGGUAGCCUCCUAUGUAACCCUUUCUUCUUCUCCUGUGCACUUUUUAUUGCAACGCGUUUUUUGGAGCCUUAUUUUGA